rnacentral:rRNA from 1 species
UAGAACGCUGAAGAGAGGAGCUUGCUCUUCUUGGAUGAGUUGCGAACGGGUGAGUAACGCGUAGGUAACCUGCCUUGUAGCGGGGGAUAACUAUUGGAAACGAUAGCUAAUACCGCAUAACAAUGGAUGACACAUGUCAUUUAUUUGAAAGGGGCAAUUGCUCCACUACAAGAUGGACCUGCGUUGUAUUAGCUAGUAGGUGAGGUAACGGCUCACCUAGGCGACGAUACAUAGCCGACCUGAGAGGGUGAUCGGCCACACUGGGACUGAGACACGGCCCAGACUCCUACGGGAGGCAGCAGUAGGGAAUCUUCGGCAAUGGGGGCAACCCUGACCGAGCAACGCCGCGUGAGUGAAGAAGGUUUUCGGAUCGUAAAGCUCUGUUGUAAGUCAAGAACGAGUGUGAGAGUGGAAAGUUCACACUGUGACGGUAGCUUACCAGAAAGGGACGGCUAACUACGUGCCAGCAGCCGCGGUAAUACGUAGGUCCCGAGCGUUGUCCGGAUUUAUUGGGCGUAAAGCGAGCGCAGGCGGUUUGAUAAGUCUGAAGUUAAAGGCUGUGGCUCAACCAUAGUUCGCUUUGGAAACUGUCAAACUUGAGUGCAGAAGGGGAGAGUGGAAUUCCAUGUGUAGCGGUGAAAUGCGUAGAUAUAUGGAGGAACACCGGUGGCGAAAGCGGCUCUCUGGUCUGUAACUGACGCUGAGGCUCGAAAGCGUGGGGAGCGAACAGGAUUAGAUACCCUGGUAGUCCACGCCGUAAACGAUGAGUGCUAGGUGUUGGAUCCUUUCCGGGAUUCAGUGCCGCAGCUAACGCAUUAAGCACUCCGCCUGGGGAGUACGACCGCAAGGUUGAAACUCAAAGGAAUUGACGGGGGCCCGCACAAGCGGUGGAGCAUGUGGUUUAAUUCGAAGCAACGCGAAGAACCUUACCAGGUCUUGACAUCCCGAUGCUAUUUCUAGAGAUAGAAAGUUACUUCGGUACAUCGGUGACAGGUGGUGCAUGGUUGUCGUCAGCUCGUGUCGUGAGAUGUUGGGUUAAGUCCCGCAACGAGCGCAACCCCUAUUGUUAGUUGCCAUCAUUCAGUUGGGCACUCUAGCGAGACUGCCGGUAAUAAACCGGAGGAAGGUGGGGAUGACGUCAAAUCAUCAUGCCCCUUAUGACCUGGGCUACACACGUGCUACAAUGGUUGGUACAACGAGUUGCGAGUCGGUGACGGCAAGCUAAUCUCUUAAAGCCAAUCUCAGUUCGGAUUGUAGGCUGCAACUCGCCUACAUGAAGUCGGAAUCGCUAGUAAUCGCGGAUCAGCACGCCGCGGUGAAUACGUUCCCGGGCCUUGUACACACCGCCCGUCACACCACGAGAGUUUGUAACACCCGAAGUCGGUGAGGUAACCUUUUGGAGCCAGCC